rnacentral:rRNA from 1 species
UACGAAGGGGGGCUAGCGUUGCUCGGAAUUACUGGGCGUAAAGGGAGCGUAGGCGGACAUUUAAGUCAGAGGUGAAAUCCCGGAGCUUAACUUCGGAACUGCCUUUGAUACUGGGUGUCUUGAGUGUGAGAGAGGUAUGUGGAACUCCGAGUGUAGAGGUGAAAUUCGUAGAUAUUUCGGAAGAAACACCAGUGGCGAAGGCGACAUACUGGCUCAUUACUGACGCUGAGGCUCGAAAGCGUGGGGGAGCAAACAGG